UACGUAGGGUGCGAGCGUUAAUCGGAAUUACUGGGCGUAAAGUGUGCGCAGGCGGCACCGCAAGUCGAGUGUGAAAGCCCCGGGCUUAACUUGGGAAUUGCGCUCGAAACUAUGGUGCUGGAGUGUGGCAGAGGAAGGUGGAAUUCCACAUGUAGCGGUGAAAUGCGUAGAGAUGUGGAGGAACACCGAUGGCGAAGGCAGCCUUCUGGGCCAACACUGACGCUCAUGCACGAAAGCGUGGGGAGCAAACAGG
rnacentral:rRNA from 1 species